rnacentral:rRNA from 1 species
UGGGGAGCAAACAGGAUUAGAUACCCUGGUAGUCCACGCCGUAAACGAUGUCGACUUGGAGGUUGUGCCCUUGAGGCGUGGCUUCCGGAGCUAACGCGUUAAGUCGACCGCCUGGGGAGUACGGCCGCAAGGUUAAAACUCAAAUGAAUUGACGGGGGCCCGCACAAGCGGUGGAGCAUGUGGUUUAAUUCGAUGCAACGCGAAGAACCUUACCUGGUCUUGACAUCCACGGAACUUUCCAGAGAUGAGAAGGUGCCUUCGGGAACCGUGAGACAGGUGCUGCAUGGCUGUCGUCAGCUCGUGUUGUGAAAUGUUGGGUUAAGUCCCGCAACGAGCGCAACCCUUAUCCUUUGUUGCCAGCGGUCCGGCCGGGAACUCAAAGGAGACUGCCAGUGAUAAACUGGAGGAAGGUGGGGAUGACGUCAAGUCAUCAUGGCCCUUACGACCAGGGCUACACACGUGCUACAAUGGCGCAUACAAAGAGAAGCGACCUCGCGAGAGCAAGCGGACCUCAUAAAGUGCGUCGUAGUCCGGAUUGGAGUCUGCAACUCGACUCCAUGAAGUCGGAAUCGCUAGUAAUCGUGGAUCAGAAUGCCACGGUGAAUACGUUCCCGGGCCUUGUACACACCGCCCGUCACACCAUGGGAGUGGGUUGCAAAAGAAGUAGGUAGCUUAACCUUC